rnacentral:RNase_P_RNA from 2 species
CUUGUAAACUAGGCAAUCGCCCUGUCGCAAGAUAGGGAGGAAAGUCCGAAACGGUAGCGGGUAAUUCCCGUCUGCAGUGAUGCAAGAGGUGCGAGCAGAGACGUCUUUGUCCGAAAGGACAGGAAAGCUAAACCCAAAAUUCUUGAUUAUAUCAGGAGUUAAAGCUUAAUCCCGGUCGGGGUAAAAGAUCGGGGGUGAAACGGCUAAAUCCUUACUGGAGCGCAAGGUCAAACUCAGCGACGAAAGUUGCUGAAGAUAAGUAGACCGCUACAGGCCAAUGGCAACAUUAGUCGCAGAUAAAUGAUUGCCUCAACGCGGAAGCGUUCAGACAGAACUCGGCUUAUUGUUUACAAAGCAA